UACGAAGGGGGCUAGCGUUGCUCGGAAUCACUGGGCGUAAAGGGUGCGUAGGCGGGUUUUUAAGUCAGAGGUGAAAUCCUGGAGCUCAACUCCAGAACUGCCUUUGAUACUGAAAGUCUUGAGUAUGGGAGAGGUGAGUGGAACUGCGAGUGUAGAGGUGAAAUUCGUAGAUAUUCGCAAGAACACCAGUGGCGAAGGCGGCUCACUGGCCCAUUACUGACGCUGAGGCGCGAAAGCUAGGGGAGCAAACAGG
rnacentral:rRNA from 1 species